rnacentral:rRNA from 1 species
AGGUCACUGCUAUCGGUGUUCGAUUAAGCCAUGCGAGUCGUGAGGGGUAAAGCCCUCGGCGGAGUGCUCAGUAACACGUGGACAACCUACCCAAGAGUCAGGGAUAACCCCGGGAAACUGGGGAUAAUACCUGAUAGGCCAUGACAUCUGGAAUCGAGUUGUGGCUUAAACGUAAGGCUCUUGGAUGGGUCUGCGGCGGAUUAGGUUGUCGCCGGUGUAACGUACCAACAAGCCUGUAAUCCGUACGGGUUGUGGGAGCAAGAGCCCGGAGAUGGAUUCUGAGACACGAAUCCAGGCCCUACGGGGCGCAGCAGGCGCGAAAACUCUACAAUGCAGGCAACUGCGAUAGGGGAACAUCGAGUGGCAUCCACCAUGGAUGUCUGUCCAAUCGUCUAAAAAACGAUUGUCAGCAAGGGCCGGGCAAGACCGGUGCCAGCCGCCGCGGUAAUACCGGCGGCUCGAGUGGUGGCCGAUAUUAUUGAGUCUAAAGGGUCCGUAGCCGGCUUUGCAAGUCCUAUGGGAAAUCCAGCGGCUUAACCGUUGGGCUUUCAUGGGAUACUACAUUGCUUGGGACUGGGAGAGGUAGGAGGUACUCAGGGGGUAGGGGUGAAAUCCUGUAAUCCUUUGGGGACCACCGGUGGCGAAGGCGUCCUACCAGAACAGGUCCGACGGUGAGGGACGAAAGCUAGGGGCACGAACCGGAUUAGAUACUCGGGUAGUCCUAGCCGUAAACGAUGCUCGCUAGGUGUCACGGCAGUCGUGAAUUGUCGUGGUGCCGUAGGGAAGCCGUGAAGCGAGCCACUUGGGAAGUACGACCGCAAGGUUGAAACUUAA